UUUUAUUUGAGAGUUUGAUCCUGGCUCAGGAUGAACGCUGGCGGCGUGCCUAACACAUGCAAGUUGAGCGAUUUACUUCGUAAAGAGCGGCGGACGGGUGAGUAACGCGUGGGUAACCUACCCUGUACACACGGAUAACAUACCGAAAGGUAUGCUAAUACGGGAUAAUAUAUUUGAGAGGCAUCUCUUAAAUAUCAAAGGUGAGCCAGUACAGGAUGGACCCGCGUCUGAUUAGCUAGUUGGUAAGGUAACGGCUUACCAAGGCGACGAUCAGUAGCCGACCUGAGAGGGUGAUCGGCCACAUUGGAACUGAGACACGGUCCAAACUCCUACGGGAGGCAGCAGUGGGGAAUAUUGCACAAUGGGCGAAAGCCUGAUGCAGCAACGCCGCGUGAGUGAUGAAGGCCUUCGGGUCGUAAAACUCUGUCCUCAAGGAAGAU
rnacentral:rRNA from 1 species